rnacentral:rRNA from 1 species
GAUGAACGCUGGCGGCGUGCCUAACACAUGCAAGUCGAACGGAAAGAAUUCUUCGGAAUUCUUUCAGUGGCGGACGGGUGAGUAACGCGUGGGUAACCUGCCUCACACAGGGGGAUAACAGUUGGAAACGACUGUUAAUACCGCAUAAGACCACAGUACCGCAUGGUACAGGGGUAAAAACUCCGGUGGUGUGAGAUGGACCCGCGUCUGAUUAGUUAGUUGGCGGGGUAACGGCCCACCAAGACGACGAUCAGUAGCCGAUCUGAGAGGAUGACCGGCCACAUUGGGACUGAGACACGGCCCAAACUCC